UGUCUGUCUGUUCCAUAAAAAGUAAAACUACUCUAUUCGUGACCAGCUUGGGCAACAUAGUGAGACUGUCUCUUUAAAAAAAAAAAAAAAAAAAAAAUUAAAAAUUAGCAGGUGUGGUGAUGCACACCUGUAGUCCUAGCAAUUCGGGAAGCUGAGGUAGGAAGAUCGCUUGAGCCAAGUGUUUGAGGUUAGAAUGAGCUAUGAUCGCACCACCUACACUCCAGCCUGGGCAACAGAGCAAGACCCAAAUGGCUCAUGGUUGCUUUGUUUGUUUUACCUUGUUGAGUGCCAGUGUGUAUUUUGAGCAAAGCAGUGUAAAUGGCCUUCUUGCCCUAGAGUCUUUCAUAAUUGAGCCUUAUUUAAUCUACCACUUUUGACCAUGAAAUUUAACAGGUGACUUCUUCUGGGUAUCUACUCCAGGUGAAGUGAUAUUUUUUUUGACUGAGAUGUCUAAAGC
rnacentral:lncRNA from 1 species